UGAUACUAUGUAUGCUGAUAUUGAAUUGUUUCUACAAAAUUAACAUAAUUAAUUGCUUUGUUUUGCUUUCAUUAUUUUCAUUAUUAGUUUAUGUAUAUUGAAUAUUUUUAAAAAGAUUGCUAGUUUUUAAUGAUUAUCAUUUGUAAAAAAAUUCUGAGAAUUGAUCUAUAUCAAACUUUUAAAAGUGACAAUUAGUCUAAUGUUUAAAACAACACUUGGGAUAAACUUCAUUUACUCAUUCAGUAAAUAGACUGUGAGUAGUCACUUACUCCAUGCUAGCCCAUUACCUAACCAAUGAGGUUACAGUGGUAAGUAGACAAACACCUACUGGAAUUGAAGGAUACAUAAAUUACAAUAAAUGAGACAGGCACACAGAUAGACGUAUAGUAGUUAGAGGACAAAAAGCAAUUUUCCUGGACUGUAGGGGAAGAUGGAAGGAACUUAAGUGAGUAGGACCAAGUGGGAGAAGCUGAGAGCAUGGCAUAUAAGGAAAAUGGAAGGAAAUAUAAGAAAAGCCUUGUUCAGCCUUGCUGCAUGGGGGAGGGGCUUAGUACUGCCUCAACUGAAUGUGCCAGGCUCUGCUGACUCCCCAUGGGAGGAGCCCUGACACUUUUGGAGGAGGGAGUGGGGAAGGUGAGUCCUGGAGAACCUGGGGGAGAAGCAGAAGGAGGGAUGAGACAGGGAUCUGUGGUUGGUAUAUAAAAUGAAUUUUAAAAUAUUCUUUAGAAAAAGACUUAAAAAAAGAAAAGCCAGACAAAAAAUACUCAAAAACAGGAAGAUGCUGGAAUAUUGUGUCACUUGCCUGCAGGGACAGGGACAGAAAAAUCCAAGUUCAAGUCAGACAUGAAACAGGAGCCAGAUCUAUCUGUGUCAGGAGACACUGGCAGAAUCCUAGCUGUGAGUAUGCCCACUGUGUCUUUGUAGAGUGGAUUCAUUUUCUUUGUGCUACAGCAGCAGUAACAACAGCUGUAAAUGCAUGCAGCAGAAGCAGGUGCAGCAGAGGCUGGAGCCUCUGGCGAGGAAGCAGAAGCAUGAGAAGCAGAAACAGCAGAAGCAGGAGCAACAGCAACAGAUGUGGAAGUGGAAGCAGAGGCAGAAGCAACAGUUCAAGCGUUUCUGUGAUCAGUGUUCUCUAGUGUGACCUCUGGUCCCUGGAGUCAGUACUUACUCUCUUCUUGAGCCUUUAAGGAAAAAUGGAGAUGUGUUAUUUUUCAUAAAAAGGGAAUGUUACACUUUCAUUCAUUUUA